UUACAUUUCUAGUUGAUAGGCUCAUUAUAUACUUGGAAUUUGCACUAGUUUGAAUGCAGUCCACCAAGAAUUUAUUUUUGCACGAGUUUAUUUUUGGGUGGAAAUAUCAGGUUCGUACACUAUAUAAGCAGUUGAUUAGCAAGGUAAUAGCUUCUCCUUUGAGUGCUUCGUUCAGCACUUCAUCAUCAUCAUCAGUUUGGUUUGUGCUCACUUUAUAAUGUCUGUCACGACUCAUGAUCAUUCCUAUUAUUAAGGUUUGAUCCUCUUCCCUUGAUUGGCCGCAACUGUACAAGGUUUUACGCUCGAACCGCUGACUGCAUAUGUUGCGAAGAAGCUACUGAUCAAAUUCAGCUGUGGGAAGAAAUCUCUAAUACAGUUAUUAGGCUUCAUGAGUGAAAAUUGAAUCAUUGUUAGCCGAAAAACUAAGCCGGCGACGGGGAAGAGACACUCAAAAGUUGUUCCUUUUGUCAAAUUGGCCUUUGGGGACACAGACGAACCACUUUAUUUUAAAAUUGUAUAGUAGUAUCAUAUUUUUCGAUUUGUUUUAGGUGCAAAAUGGUAAUGAUUUGGGAUAAUUUAAAGUGUAACGAGGUUAGGUCCAGGAAAAGGACAUGGGGGUCACUCGAAAGCUCUUUCUUAAUAAUCUCUUAAAAAUGAUUGCAUCCCACAGUGAGAACGGGCAUCUGAUGUUCCCCCACUCUACCUGGAAAUGAGAUACACGUUCGGGUUGAUUAAAAUUCGUUUGUGUCAACCUUUUGCAUCCUGCAGUAUUAAAAAAGUGUUGAUUCAAAAAUGGACUGAAAAAAAGGUGGUUGUUCAACUGGCUCGGCUCACCAGGCUGAGUUGGAACUGGGGCACAUCGACUCAUGAUCCUUCCACUGUCAAGAGCGGGAGGUGUUCGUUGCUCUGUGAAACCAGCCUAACGCGGUGCCCUCUGCUAUAGUGAUCACACAGCCCAGGCCUACGCCCGGACAGUGCAACCAACUCCCAACUUGGAACGGGCGAGUCAACAUAUUGUGCACACCAGCACCUACCAGGUGAAACCCGACCAGUGUUCAACCAUCUUAAUGUCCCCACUC